AUUGAACGCUGGCGGCAGGCCUAACACAUGCAAGUCAAGCGGAUGAAGGGAGCUUGCUCCUGGAUUCAGCGGCGGACGGGUGAGUAAUGCCUAGGAAUCUGCCUGGUAGUGGGGGAUAACGUCCGGAAACGGGCGCUAAUACCGCAUACGUCCUGAGGGAGAAAGUGGGGGAUCUUCGGACCUCACGCUAUCAGAUGAGCCUAGGUCGGAUUAGCUAGUUGGUGGGGUAAAGGCCUACCAAGGCGACGAUCCGUAACUGGUCUGAGAGGAUGAUCAGCCACACUGGAACUGAGACACGGUCCAGACUCCUACGGGAGGCAGCAGUGGGGAAUAUUGGACAAUGGGCGAAAGCCUGAUCCAGCCAUGCCGCGUGUGUGAAGAAGGUCUUCGGAUUGUAAAGCACUUUAAGUUGGGAGGAAGGGAAGUAAGUUAAUACCUUGCUGUUUUGACGUUACCAACAGAAUAAGCACCGGCUAACUUCGUG
rnacentral:rRNA from 1 species